AAUAGAUACCCAGGUAGUCCACGCCGUAAACGAUGAAUACUAGGUGUAGGGGUUGUCAUGACCUCUGUGCCGCCGCUAACGCAUUAAGUAUUCCGCCUGGGGAGUACGGUCGCAAGAUUAAAACUCAAAGGAAUUGACGGGGGCCCGCACAAGCAGCGGAGCAUGUGGUUUAAUUCGAAGCAACGCGAAGAACCUUACCUAGACUUGACAUCUCCUGCAUUACUCUUAAUCGGGGAAGUUCCGUUCGGGGACAGGAAGACAGGUGGUGCAUGGUUGUCGUCAGCUCGUGUCGUGAGAUGUUGGGUUAAGUCCCGCAACGAGCGCAACCCUUAUUGUUAGUUGCUACCAUUUAGUUGAGCACUCUAGCGAGACUGCCCGGGUUAACCGGGAGGAAGGUGGGGAUGACGUCAAAUCAUCAUGCCCCUUAUGUCUAGGGCUACACACGUGCUACAAUGGCAAGUACAAAGAGAAGCAAAGACCGCGAGGUGGAGCAAAAACUCAAAAAACUUGUCUCAGUUCGGAUUGUAGGCUGAAAACUCGCCUAC
rnacentral:rRNA from 1 species